ACAUUUAGGCAGGAGAAGAUGGAUGAGACUGCUCAUGCUCUACUGGAGCUCCAUGUCACCUCCCUCUGCUCCAAUCAAUCACAGGCGCCAUUUGCCCAACAGCAGCGGGGCCAAAUAUCCAGUUAAAAAAUAUGGCUGUGUACAGAUUUCUACGCCAAAGCUGUGGACCGGUGACGGCGGUUGAGGGACACGUCCAGCAUCCAGACAGAAGAUGAAGCAAGUGUCCAAAAAAGGCAGCGCCGACGCCCAAGGAGGUUCAUGACAGAUUCUUCAAGCGAUGAUGAAUCUGUUGCAGACCGAUAAAACUGUCCAGGACGGAGUGUGCGUCUGGAAGCCC